AGAGUUUGAUCAUGGCUCAGAUUGAACGCUGGCGGCAGGCCUAACACAUGCAAGUCGAGCGGUAGAGAGAAGCUUGCUUCUCUUGAGAGCGGCGGACGGGUGAGUAAUGCCUAGGAAUCUGCCUGGUAGUGGGGGAUAACGUUCGGAAACGGACGCUAAUACCGCAUACGUCCUACGGGAGAAAGCAGGGGACCUUCGGGCCUUGCGCUAUCAGAUGAGCCUAGGUCGGAUUAGCUAGUUGGUGAGGUAAUGGCUCACCAAGGCGACGAUCCGUAACUGGUCUGAGAGGAUGAUCAGUCACACUGGAACUGAGACACGGUCCAGACUCCUACGGGAGGCAGCAGUGGGGAAUAUUGGACAAUGGGCGAAAGCCUGAUCAGCCAUGCCGCGUGUGUGAAGAAGGUCUUCGGAUUGUAAAGCACUUUAAGUUGGGAGGAAGGGUUGUAGAUUAAUACUCUGCAAUUUUGACGUUACCGACAGAAUAAGCACCGGCUAACUCUGUGCCAGCAGCCGCGGUAAUACAGAGGGUGCAAGCGUUAACCGGAAUUACUGGGCGUAAAGCGCGCGUAGGUGGUUUGUUAAGUUGGAUGUGAAAUCCCCGGGCUCAACCUGGGAACUGCAUUCAAAACUGACUGACUAGAGUAUGGUAGAGGGUGGUGGAAUUUCCUGUGUAGCGGUGAAAUGCGUAGAUAUAGGAAGGAACACCAGUGGCGAAGGCGACCACCUGGACUAAUACUGACACUGAGGUGCGAAAGCGUGGGGAGCAAACAGGAUUAGAUACCCUGGUAGUCC
rnacentral:rRNA from 1 species